AACGUAGGUACCGAGCGUUAUCCGGAUUUACUGGGCGUAAAGCGUGUUCAGGCGGUCUAGCAAGUCGGGCAUGAAAUCUCCGGGCUCAACCCGGAGGGGUUGUCCGAAACUGCUGGGCUUGAGGGCAGCAGAGGGUGGUGGAAUUCCGGGUGUAGUGGUGAAAUGCGUAGAUAUCCGGAGGAACACCAGUGGCGAAGGCGGCCACCUGGGCUGUACCUGACGCUCAAACACGAAAGCUAGGGGAGCGAACGGG
rnacentral:rRNA from 1 species